rnacentral:rRNA from 1 species
AUUGAACGCUGGCGGCAGGCCUAACACAUGCAAGUCGAACGCGUGGCGGACGGGUGAGUAAUAUAUGGGAAAGUGCCCAAUGGAGGGGGAUAAAUACUGGAAAGAGUAGCUAAUACCGCAUACUAUCAGAUAUGCCUAUAUGGGAUUAGCUUGUUGGUGGGGUAACGGCUCACCAAGGCGACGAUCACUCGCUGGUCUGAGAGGAUGACCAGCCACACUGGAACUGAGACACGGCCCAGACUCCUACGGGAGGCAUCAGUGGGGAAUGUUGGACAAUGGGCGAAAGCCUGAUCCAGCCAUCCCGCGUGUAUGAAGAAGGCCUUCGGGUUGUAAAGUACUUUUGGCGGGGAAGCGGUAUCUGCAGAAUAAGCACCGGCUAACUACGUGCCAGCAGCCGCGGUAAGUC